rnacentral:lncRNA from 1 species
AUAACCAUGUCGGACGAAACAAAACCUUCUACUGCACCUUCUAUUGCUGCUGUGACGAAGGCAUUGACGGAUGCUCUAAGGAUUGCUAUUUCAUAAGUUACCACUUCUGUUAUAAACCAAUCUGAAUCUACUUCUCAAGCUCAAGCCAAAGCUUCCCCGUUUAAAUAUCAAGAAUAUCGUUUGUCCGACGAAACAGCAGUCAACGAUUAUUUCAAAAGAUUUGAGUGGGCAUUACAACUGAGUAAAAUUUCGGAAGAAGAAUACGGUAAUUUCGCUCGCGUCCAUAUGGGUGCAGAAUUUACUAAUUUUCUGACAAUUCUUGUUGCUCCUGAUACACCAGAAAGUCGCACGUAUCAACAAAUUCGCACUGUUUUAAUUGCACAUUUUGACGUCAACAAAAAUAAAUAUGCAGGAAGUGUUAAGUACCGACAAAUUGUACAGCUACAAAAUGAAUCCAUUGGAGUCAACUCGUCAAACAGCGGAUGAGGUUACCUCUACUUCUAAUAAGAUACAUGCACUAUCUUAUUCAACGACGCGUUUCAAGCAUAAACGGAAUGCUUCGAAUACAUCGCGCAGUGCUUCUUGGGGGCAAGAUCAUGUCGAACAACAAUGUCAGUACGUUUGUUAUGGAUGCGGAGAACGUCACAAACGCAACCUCCAUCUUCGCUUUUUACUUCUGAAAUGCAAAAUUGUAAAGAGCCUGCACAAUAAAUAGACACGUUGGAAUGUUUCAACGCAGUCGAAGAAAUCCACGCUAUUGAUUCUUGUGCUAAGAAAAUGCUUCAAGUGCUUAUUGAAGACAGCAAAUUAAAAACCGAUGUCAAUUCAUUGGCACGUAACUUUCUCCAACAAAAUUAUAGGUCCAAUAAAUAAAAUAUUGUUCAAAGGAAGCAAAAUUUUCGAGAAAAAUUGGUUUUUACAUUUCAGCUUUUUACUUGAGAACCGCUCAACGAAAUUGUUUAAAAUUUUAGCAGCAGAUAUCUUUUUUAUGGUGAAUCACCAAAUAAAAUUUUGAAGCAUUUGACUACAUUGCUUUACAGAUACGAGGAAACAAAAAUUUUCAAAAAAAAUUGAAAUUUGAAAAAUCAAAAAUGAAAGAAAUAAUAUCUCAAGAGCCAUAAGGGUUUGAAAGCUGCCCAAUAAACUUAGCCAAAACACAUGCUCUCUGACGAACUAAGAGGUCGAUCCCGGAUCAAACAAGGAAAAGUAGAUAAUUUUAUUCUCUUUCAAAUGCAUUAUAGCUAAAUUGUUUGUAACAAUAGGAUGAGAAAAACGCAAAAUAGUGUUUUCCAAAAAUCAAAAAAAGACCAUAAAAAAAUAGUUGUUAAAAUAAAAAAAUAAUUGUUUUUCCCGUAUUCAGAAUUCAAAAAUAGAUAUGCAUGUCAAAUUUUAUAGAUAUUGGCGGAGUUGUUCCAGAAAUAUUAUGAUAUACAUACACACACAUCCAUACGGAGAUUUUCUAAAAGCAUUUGAUUUGAACUUAUAACACACCAAAAAGUAUUUUCUAGAAGUUUUGACGAAACUCAAAAUUUUACUAUUACAAAGCUUCCUCUAGGAGGAAACAAUAUGGAAUUAGAUUCUGGUGCACCAUAUAGUUUCAUAGGUAGCGAUACACUUCGUAACCUCAAACCUAAUUUUUAAUUUCAGCCAACUUCUAAGAAAUUCACGAGUUACUCGCAAAAUCGCCUUAACUGCAUCGGUACUUGCUCUGUUAAUGUUUCAUUUGGUUCUACAUCUCGUCAACUUCCGGUCUACGUAAUUCAAAGCUCUUAUGAUUCAUUAUUUGAUCGUGAAUGGAUCGCAUAAUGCAGUCACAAAAUUGAUUGGACCAAACUAUUUUCUUCAAUCAAGGAUGAUGCGCUUUCUACUCUUCCACCUACAUUAACUUGUGAUCAACAAGCCCAGUUGGAUCAACUUUUGACAAAGUACGCUAAAGUUAUCAGUGAAACAGCUAGAAAACUUACUGGACCUUCAGGUUAGGUACAUUUUAAACCUGGAACUUGUCCUGUUUUUGCUUGUGCUCAAGAUAUAGCAUAUGCGUUGCGCGACAAAUAUUCUAAAGCAGUUGACGCUAAACUUGCGUCCGGAUUUUACAAAAAAGUCAAUUUUUCCGAGUGGGCUUCGCCUACACACGUCGUUAUU